rnacentral:rRNA from 1 species
GAGUUUGAUCGUGGCUCAGAUUGAACGCUGGCGGCAGGCCUAACACAUGCAAGUCGAGCGGAUGACGGGAGCUUGCUCCUUGAUUCAGCGGCGGACGGGUGAGUAAUGCCUAGGAAUCUGCCUGGUAGUGGGGGACAACGUUUCGAAAGGAACGCUAAUACCGCAUACGUCCUACGGGAGAAAGCAGGGGACCUUCGGGCCUUGCGCUAUCAGAUGAGCCUAGGUCGGAUUAGCUAGUUGGUGGGGUAAUGGCUCACCAAGGCGACGAUCCGUAACUGGUCUGAGAGGAUGAUCAGUCACACUGGAACUGAGACACGGUCCAGACUCCUACGGGAGGCAGCAGUGGGGAAUAUUGGACAAUGGGCGAAAGCCUGAUCCAGCCAUGCCGCGUGUGUGAAGAAGGUCUUCGGAUUGUAAAGCACUUUAAGUUGGGAGAAGGGCAGUAAGUUAAUACCUUGCUGUUUUGACGUUACCGACAGAAUAAGCACCGGCUAACUCUGUGCCAGCAGCCG